rnacentral:lncRNA from 1 species
CCCGGGUCCUCCGGGUACUGAAAAUCCCGGAAAAACGUCGGGAAAAUCCGGGAAAACACCUGGAAAAUCUGGGGAAAAUGCCUGGAAAAUCCCAGAGAAAAUCCCGGAAAAAUGCCUGGAAAAUCAGGGAAAACAUCCUGGAAAAUCCCAGAAAAACAUCCUGGAAAACCCCAGAGAAAAUCCCGGAAAAACACCUGGAAAAUCCAGGAAAAUCAUCCUGGAAAAUCCCAGAGAAAAUCCUAGAGAAAAUCCCGGAAAAACACCUGGAAAAUCCAGAAAAACAUCCUGGAAAAUCCGGGAAAAACAUCCUGGAAAAUCCCAGAGAAAAUCCCAGAAAAUUCCAGAGAAAAUCCCGGAAAAAAACGCCAGGAAAAUCCCAGAGAAAAUCCCAGAAAAACGCCAGGAAAACACCUGGAAAAUCCGGGGAAAACUGCCUGGAAAAUCCCAGAAAAACAUCCUGGAAAAUCUGGGGAAAAUACCUGGAAAAUUCAGGAAAAACAUCCUGGAGAAUCCCAGAAAAACUGCCUGGAAAAUCCCCGGAAAACAUCCUGGAAAAUCCAGAAAAACAUCCUGGAAAAUUCAGGGAAAACCUCUUGGAAAAUUCCAGAAAACCGCCUGGAAAAAAUCCAGAGAAAACCAUCUGGAAAAUCCCAGGAAAAACUUCCUGGAAAAUCUGGGAAAAUCUCCAGGAAAAUCCGGAAAAACCACCUGGAAAAAAUGGGAAAAACCACCUGGAAAAUCCGGGAAAAUCUCCAGGAAAAUCCGGAAAAAACAUGUGGAAAAUCUGGGAAAAACCGCCUGGAAAAUCCGGGGAAACUUCCAGAAAAUCCUCCAGAAAACAGGGAAUUCCCCCGGAGCCGGAAAUGCCGGAGGUGUUCCCAGGAAAUUUCUGGAAUUCCAGGUGGGAUUUGAUGCCCUGAGCAAAAAAUUCCCAAAAUUCUCAUUUGGAUUUGAUGCCCUGGGUGCGAAAUUCCCAAAAUUCCUGGAAUUUCUGGGUGGAUCCGGUGCCCAGAGCAGCAAAUUCCCAAAAUAUUCCAAGAAUUCCCAUCCUGUUUCCCAGGGGGGAGAUUUUUGGGAAUUCCAAUGGGUUUGGGAAUGUCCCGAUGGAAAAAUUCCCUUUUUUUUUUUUCCUUGGGAUUUGUAAAUAUUAUAAAUAAAUCCAUGGAAUUCCCAAGGAAAUUCCGUUAU